GACGAACGCUGGCGGCGUGCUUAACACAUGCAAGUCGAACGGAAAGGCCCUGCUUUUGUGGGGUGCUCGAGUGGCGAACGGGUGAGUAACACGUGAGUAACCUGCCCUUGACUUUGGGAUAACUUCAGGAAACUGGGGCUAAUACCGGAUAGGAGCUCCUGCUGCAUGGUGGGGGUUGGAAAGUUUCGGCGGUUGGGGAUGGACUCGCGGCUUAUCAGCUUGUUGGUGGGGUAGUGGCUUACCAAGGCUUUGACGGGUAGCCGGCCUGAGAGGGUGACCGGCAACAUGGGGACUGAGAUACGGCCCAGACUCCUACGGGAGGAAGAAGGGGGGAAUAUGGAAAAAUGGGGGGAAGCCGGAUGCAGAAACGCCGGGUGCGGGAUGACGGCCUUCGGGUUGUAAACCGUUUUCGCCGGUGACGAAGGGUGAGUGACGGUAAUGGGUAAAGAAGAACCGGCUAACUACGUG
rnacentral:rRNA from 1 species